rnacentral:rRNA from 1 species
GACGAAUGCUGGCUGCGUGCUUAACACAUGCAAGUCGAACGGUGAGAGGGAGCUUGCUCCCUGGAUCAGUGGCGAACGGGUGAGUAACACGUGGGCAACCUGCCCCCCACUCUGGGAUAACUCCGGGAAACCGGGGCUAAUACCGGAUACGACCUGGUGCGACAUCGCACCGGGUGGAAAGAACUCCGGUGAGGGAUGGGCCCGCGGCCUAUCAGCUUGUUGGUGGGGUAACGGCCCACCAAGGCGACGCACGGGUAGCCGGCCUGAGAGGGCGACCGGCCACACUGGGACUGAGACACGGCCCAGACUCCUACGGGAGGCAGCAGUGGGGAAUAUUGCGCAAUGGGCGAAAGCCUGACGCAGCGACGCAGCGUGAGGGACGAAGGCCUUCGGGUUGUAAACCUCUUUCAGCGGGGACGAAGCGAAAGUGACGGUACCCGCAGAAGAAGCACCGGCUAACUACGUGCCAGCCGCCGCCGUAAGAC